UACAGAGGGUGCGAGCGUUAAUCGGAAUUACUGGGCGUAAAGCGCACGUAGUCGGCUUUGCAAGUCGGGUGUGAAAUCCCCGGGCUCAACCUGGGAACUGCAUUUGUGACUGCAUGGCUAGAGUGCGGCAGAGGGGGAUGGAAUUCCGCGUGUAGCAGUGAAAUGCGUAGAUAUGCGGAGGAACACCGAUGGCGAAGGCAAUCCCCUGGGCCUGCACUGACGCUCAUGCACGAAAGCGUGGGGAGCAAACAGG
rnacentral:rRNA from 1 species